AUACGGAGGAUCCGAGCGUUAUCCGGAUUUAUUGGGUUUAAAGGGUGCGCAGGCGGGAGAUUAAGUCGGCGGUGAAAUUUUGCAGCUCAACUGUAAAAGUGCCUUCGAAACUGGUUUCCUUGAGGGUAGAAGAAGUAGGUGGAAUUUGUGGGGUAGCGGGAAAAUGCAUAGAUAUCACGAGGAACUCCGAUUGCGCAGGCAGCUUGCUAAACUACUACUGACGCUCAGUCACGAAGGCGUGAGGAUCAAACAUGAUUAGAUACCCUGGUAGUCCACGCAAUAAACGAUGAUUACUAGCUGUUUGCGAUACAAUGUAAGCGGCUGAGCUAAAGCGUUAAGUAAUCCGCCUGGGGAGUACGACCGCAAGAUUGAAACUCAAAGGAAUUGACGGGG
rnacentral:rRNA from 1 species